UAAGAGUCCUACUCGACAUUUUGAAAAUUAAUUCCAGAGUUGGCUAGUUAUUUUGCGCCUGGAGACCAGGCAGGCGCCAAUGGAGUAGAUCCACUAGCGUUGCGGAAGCGGUGAGACAUUGCAGACGUGAAACGCAUGACAAAGAUGGCGACCGAUCAGACGACUGAUCAUGUAAAUGGGAAUAGUACAGAGGAACCAAUAGACAUAACUGAAGUGGACACAACUACAGCUGAAGUUAUCCAUUCAGACAAUUUCCAGACUUUAUUAGAUGCUGGUUUACCACAGAAAGUUGCAGAAAAACUAGAUGCAAUUUACAUAGCAGGCUUGGUAUCGCACAGUGACCUAGAUGAAAGGGCUAUUGAAGCAUUGAAAGAAUUUAACGAAGAAGGGGCUCUACAAGUCCUGCUUGAAUUUAAGGAAAGUGAUCUGUCGCACGUGCAAAACAAAAGUGCCUUCCUCUGUGGAGUAAUGAAGACUUAUAGACAGAGGGAGAAGCAAGGAACCAAAGUUUCAGAUUCCACGAAAGGACCAGAUGAGGCGAAAAUAAAAGCUCUGCUUGAUAGAACCAUCUAUACACUUGAUGUGACAACGGGUCAGCGGAAGUAUGGAGGCCCCCCCCCAGAGUCUGUGUAUUCAGGUGCUCAACCCACUAUUGGAACAGAGAUAUUUGUUGGGAAAAUUCCUCGAGACUUGUUUGAGGAUGAGCUGGUGCCCCUCUUUGAGAAGGCGGGACCUAUCUGGGAUCUACGUCUAAUGAUGGACCCCCUGAGUGGCUUGAACAGGGGCUACGCCUUUGUCACCUUCUGCACUAAAGAGGCUGCCUCGGAGGCUGUAAACCUGUGUAAUAAUCAUGAAAUACGCCCCGGCAAACACAUUGGAGUGUGUAUAUCUGUUGCCAAUAACCGGCUGUUCGUCGGCUCCAUCCCCAAGAGUAAAACGAAAGAACAGAUUGUGGAGGAGUUUGCUAAAGUCACAGAGGGUCUUAAUGAUGUCAUACUGUACCAUCAGCCAGAUGACAAAAAGAAGAACAGAGGUUUUUGCUUUUUGGAAUACGAGGACCAUAAAACUGCUGCUCAGGCCAGACGCAGGCUAAUGAGUGGCAAGGUGAAAGUGUGGGGGAACGUGGUUACUGUGGAAUGGGCAGACCCCAUCGAGGACCCAGAUCCAGAGGUUAUGGCCAAGGUCAAAGUUUUGUUUGUCCGAAACCUUGCGAACAGUGUUACGGAAGAAAUACUUGAAAAAUCCUUCGGCCAGUUUGGUAAACUGGAGCGAGUGAAAAAGCUGAAAGAUUACGCCUUCGUUCAUUUUGAUGAGAGGGACGCUGCAGUCAAGGCGUUGGCUCAAAUGAAUGGCAAAGUUCUGGAAGGAGAGCGCAUUGACAUAGUCUUUGCAAAGCCCCCUGAUCAGAAGAGGAAGGAACGCAAAGCUCAGAGACAAGCAGCCAAAACAAACAUGUAUGAUGAUGAUUAUUAUUACAACUACGGCCCCCCUCAGUUGCCCCCUCCCACAAGAGGCGGCCGGGGUAGGGGAGGUUAUUCUUACCCACCCGACUAUUAUGGCUACGAUGAUUACGAUGAUUAUUAUGGUUCUGAUUAUCCCAACUACCGCGGGGGAUACGACUAUGACUACGACUACUACGACUACUACGGCUAUGAUGACUUUCAGGCUCCCGCUAGAGGAAGAGGUGGCAGAGGUGCACGGGGGGCAUCCCCAGCCAGAGGUAGGCCAGGCACUCCCAGGGGAAGAGGUGGCUUUUCCCCGCGUGGUGGUCCAGGAUCAAGCAGAGGAGGUGUGCAACAGAGAGGCCGUGGUGGGCAGGGAAAAGUGGUCGAGGCCGGUCCUGACCUGUCACUAUGAAGACUGACCUGCUAUGUGGGGUUAUACUGGAAGCUGCCAAUUGAAGUGAUGGUAAGGUGAACUCAAUGGUCCAAUGAUAUUCCAACUUUACAGGAGCAUAUCUGCCAGAUUAGAAGAUAAUCAAAAGGGCAAACUCAAGACACUUGUUGCUUGGACUUUUUAGACCGUUGCUGCAAAUAGAGUUUUCACACCUCUGAACCUCUCAAAGCUAACGAUCCAGGUCAUAUUCUGCGCAUGUUAUUUUAUGCACACUUUGUAGCUGCUGCUCACACUCCCCUCCCAUUUUUCUUUUUACUCACCCUCUUCUGGACCAUGCUGAUGUAGUCUAUGGCUUUCUCAUAUUUCUGAACAGCUGAAAUAACCCCAAAGUAUUUGAUCUAACAUUCCCCCAAAAUAUAUUAAGGCUAUUACAACCAUUGUCUGUUGUAAUGGAUAUUGCAGUUGCACAAGCAGGAUGCAGUCCUUACACAUUCAUUCCAUUGGAGAAAAAACAGUCAAGUUUUUGUGUGAAGUAGGCUAAUGCUUUAUAGUCAUAUCGUAGCCACUAGCCAGAGUUCCUGGCGGCGGCGGGGGGGGGGGGAACACUACUACUUUGACUGCCUGUCUGCCUCCUGCUUAGCCAAUGCUUGUGAUGAGAAAAUAACAUUAAAUCGCUAAUUAGACUGCGUCUCUGUGUCUUGCUUGUGUUUCAUAUGCUGCCUAAAUAGCUGCAUAGAACUAGAACUCCCCACUUGAGUUUUGCUUUGGGGCAAAAAAUGAUCUGCGUUUCAACCACACCCAGACCCUACUAACUACUAUUUUGCUUUUCAAUGAUAAUGCAAGUACUGCAUGAGUAAGCGUCCUAGCUGUUCCAACUCUGGACAGGUGAGCAUGUAUUUUGACCCGUAACCAGUGUCUGACAAUGGGCGAGUGUUUUGCAUCGCCCGGCGUGCUAUUAUUGCUUGUGUCAUAUGCUGCCAUAUCGAUGAUUGCUGGAAAAAAUAACUAUAGCCAAUGUUUGCGAUGAGAAAAUAAUAUUAAAUCACUAUUUUGACUGCCUGUGUGUCUUGCUCGUGUUUGAUAUUCUUGCCUAAGUAGCUGCAUGUUAACUCAGCAGCUAAAAAGAACAUGGACUUGCUAGACUGCUUAUGUUUGCAACAGACAACUGUUCCAACCGACACAGUUUGUACAAAGCAUGAUGGCUGCAUGUAACACCCCUCCUGAAAAUAAUUACAUGAAGUCACGCUUGAGGCAUGGAAAGCAUAGUUUGAACAUGUUGACCAUGUCUUAAGCAUAGACAAAAAAAACAUAUGUAUAUAGUGUAGGCUACAACAUUAAGUGGAAGCAGCAGUGGAACACUGAGCAGACACUACUGUGGGCAGCAAGUUACGUAAAAAAAUAAAUACUGCACAUGUGCAGAAAGCUCAUUAUCCACGGCAAGUGUGGUUCCAGAAAAUCCAAAUCCAAAACCACAGCCAUGCCAUUGUUAUUAUAAGCUUGCCACCUCCCCCAUGUCUCCAAGGAAUAUGCCAUUUUAAAAUGACUAUUGAAGAUGUUGAGUUCCCAGUGGAAUGUUCAUCCCAAAAUGUAGUUAUGCCUUUUGCACUUUGUCUAAGUUUGAAGUGGCUCAGAGGAGCUUGACACCAAUGUAUAUUUUGAUGCAUAAUGCAGCUUUACAAUGGAAUAUACCUAUUUAAUUCUGUUUUGGUUGGUUUUAAUAUAAUGUUUAGGAGGGUUUUAGGUUUAACCAACUGGCAUAACGGUCAGGCAUUCCAGGAAAGUGGUUAUUUUCAGAACUUGUCUUUAAAGGGUCGGUUAAAUACCUCAGUACAGAGGAUAAAACUGCCCUGUCUACUGUAAGUAUGGAAACGUAAUUGAUGAAAGCAGGGCUUGUUCCAUGUAGUUUGUUUAUUAUAGGUGCUGCAUGCUGUUAUUCUAACACUGCCAACAGUCAAACUGAGCAUGUUAAAUAAUCUCAUAUAAUGAGCGAAUGAACAAACCUGGCUUUCAUAUGGUUUGAACUGCAUUGGCUAUGUGCUUAUUCAUAUAAUGUAGUUACAGGUUGUAUAAUAGUUUAGGAAAAUGGUACUUCUUGUAAAAGCUUGAAGGAAAGACAUGCUUUUUUCAGAAGCAUUGCAGUGUCCCUUUUUCUUUCUGGGAUAGGAUAGUAAGUAUUUUGUAUAUGAUCCAUUCCUUUUGGUUGCCUGGAAACCCAAUGUAGCAUUAUAUGCCACUCAACAUUGGGUUUUCAGGCAACCCAUUUGGAAGGUUGCAUACACAUUUAAGUUUGAGAGACAUCGGUCUACUUUGUGUACAGAAAUUUGCCUAAUCAUGAUGUACAACAUGAAUGUCGAUCGUGACAUCUAUGAGCUGCCUUUUUGUCACGUGACAAGUCUUGAAUCUGCAUCAGGUUGAGCAUGUAAUUUAGUAUCGGAGUUAGCUGGAUAUGACUUGGUAAAUCCAGUUCAAAUGGGAUACUGAAGUUUAAAUAAAAUAAAAAUAUGUAUUUCCUGGAUCGCAUAAAGGAGACAACUUAAUCAGGUUUUGUACACCGUUGACUCUGAAGCUGUUACCAGUUUAAACAGUUGUUGGUGGCUAACAAUUGUUUUUGCAUUCUUGCAAAUAAAUUGUUUUAUACUGUUAAGUGAGGCGCGUGUAAUUUAUUUUUAAAAUAAAGGUCUUGAUUUUCAUCACUGUCUUAAAAUAUAAAAAUAUAUUUGAUCAAUUUAUGACUAUUCGUCCAACAUAGUUGUAUACAUUUAAAUGUAGAUGUUAUGGAAUAACGCAAACAAUUCAACAUUGUGCUUUGUGCACCACACCUUCGUAUGGAAUUUACGGCAAUGGUAUGAAUUUAAUUUCACUAAAGUGUUACUUUCAAACGUACUAUUUCGUUUAGGAAAUGAAAUAGUUUAUGAAUGACAAGCAAUUACCAGUUGAGACUACAGUACUAAAGAUUUUCCAGUAGCUUCGCCUAUCCCUCCCUCUCUGGGCUACUGGCACUUCCUGUGGUGAGGAUUAGAACCGGAAGUGACGACCAUCGGAUUAAGGAAACUCGAUCUGUCAAGGAAAUCACAAUACUUUCUGAAAUGGGAAAUAACAAAAGUGCUAACCAUAAUUAAAAGGAAGAUCUAUCGUUGAAUAAAUUAGAAAACAAUGUGAAACCUGAACAAAUUUAUGACAUGGUUCGCUGUUUGAAGUACUAAUUGAUGGGAUUAUAUUGUGUAUUAACCCCAUUGUAAAAUGGAACGUAUUCGAGUUUAUUUGGAGAAUCUGAAGCAAGGACUGCAAAUUGAUGUCCUGAGGGAAGUUGGACGUCAAUACCCUGUCUUUUGCUUUCUUCUGGUUUUCAUGCUUUCAUCAACUAUACUUCUUAAUAGGUAUCUCCACAUUCUGAUGGUGUUUUGGUCCUUCCUGGCUGGAGUGAUUACAUUCUAUUGCUCCCUCGGCACAGAAUCCCUCCUGCCCAACAUCCUCUUCACCAUGAAGCCCAAGAACAAACAGCAGGAGCAACAGGAGCUGUUUCCAUUGGGACACAGCUGUGCAGUGUGUGGAAA